AAAGAGGUCUUUCUCUGCCAUGUGAGGACACAGCAAGAAGGCGGCCAUCUGCAAGCCAGGAAAAGAGUUCUCACCAGGAGCCAAAUCAGCAGACACUUUGAUCUUGGACUUCCAGUCUCCAGAACUGUGCUGGUCACCAAGUCAGCCUCAAUCUUUCCAACAGAAUCGUAGAACUCCCCUCAGUCUGGAUAAGGACAUCGAGGAAGCUAUCACUCUCCUCUUUUUUAAUUGGAUGCCUCUCUCCUCCUGCUCCAAUCUGGACUGGCUGCUCUCUCCGGUGGCAUAGCUGUCAUCCAAGAUUUCUCUCCACCACCUGAAGCUGCUGUCUCCUGGAUCCCAUGUCUCCUGUCUUCAUGGUUUUCUCCCUUGUCUUGGUAGAAGAAUUCAUGCGGUAGCUUUCUGGGUACACAAGAGAUAACACUUUGGAGAUCAUUUAUUUCUGAAAAUGCCUUUAUUCCACCUUCAUCUUUGAUUGAUCGUUUGGAUAUAGAAUCAAGAUCGUACCAAACAAAUCCCAGAAUUCUCUGAGGGCUUGUUUCUUGGGAUCACUCCUGGUACUAAUUCCUAUAUCAGCCAGGAUUCAGUUGGAAAACAGAAAUCACAUUACUUAUUUUAAAGAGGGAAUUUAAUAUACAGAAGGUUAAAUGGGUGUUGGAGAACUGAAGAGGGAAAGGAGAUACGAAGGUAACACAAAGACAAUAACUGUGGAAAGCAGCUAGCAUAUGGGCAACAAGAGAAGGAGAUGGGAUCCUUUGAACCCUGAAGCUUGAAGCAGGAGCCCCAUGGUGCGAAGAUCCAGCCCUCAGGAGAAGAGGUGUUGCAGCCAGUGCUGAGAUCUCUGAGAGGUCACUGAAGCUUACAGACGUUAAAUAACGUGCCCCCAGUCAUCAUGCAAUGACUUCUAUCUGUGGGAUUCUUUCCACUAUACCAUGAACGAAAAGGGGCGGAUUUGAGGGUGACAAGGUUGGGAGGGAGGGGCUUCUCUGUGUCCUUGAAUCAAUUGUGAGAGGCUGACCUCUACUGGAUCGUACAGCACUUGAACACCAAAAGGAAGAAAUAGUUUUCCUAGCCUCAAAUGAUUUUUUCUCACAUUUUGGAGAGGAAUCUGUUUAAUAGGUAUGCCAAGUGCCUACUACUUAGAAAAUACUGGACUAAAUGCCAAGGUAAAGCAAAUAUAAAUUGAUUGGACUGUGUAAGUCACAGCAGGGAUGAAAGGCACACCUCCUACGCCCAGUGUGGUCAGCUUCACCAGGGAGGUAUCUCCAAAUAGCAAAAGACAAUGUUCUCUUCCAGAGGAACCGGAAGACCCAGGUCUUGAAAGAAGCAGCCCUUCUCUGGGUUUACACUCCUCAUAUUGUAUCCCAUGUUUUAUAAUAUGCACAUCUGCAUUGCGUCAUUAUUUUUGUCCCAUUGUCCAUUUGUUUUGUGCAACAUUGGUUCUUUAAGCAGCCAUGUUCACUGAGACUCACAUAAAAUGGGUCUGAGAUGUA